rnacentral:tRNA from 1 species
AUAGAGUGCCUGAUUAAAGGAUAAUUUUGAUAGAAUUAAUAAUGUGUGCAGCCCUCACCUCUAUUA